UCAAUAUUAUCAUUCAUUUUGAUGGUUGUAUUUGUGGUUGUAUAUGCCAGAAAAUGUAUGCGAUGCAUACGAAUUCAUUUUAUUCCUCCUGUCAUUGAAGAUAACCCAAACGGCUGGGAUCCUACCUCUGUUUCAGAUGCAUUUAAAGGAAUACCUUAUCAACCAUUCUCUAAAGGAGUUAAACUUGGCAAGGUUUCUGAUUGGUCAAGUACAGCCUAUCAAGAUCGUUGAUACCAAAAUAAAUACUUAAAUCAAUUUGGUGGUGGUAAUCAAUAUGCAUAUUAUCAUGAAGAAGAUGAAUCAACUUUCCAUCUUGUUGACACAAGUCGUCCACAAAAGCCUGUUUACAUGC